GCGCACAGGCGAGAAACCUCCGCAAUGCGGGAAACCGCGACGGGGGACCCCGAGUGCCGUGGCAACGCCACGGCUUUUCCGGAGUGUAAAAAGCUCCGGGAAUAAGGGCUGGGCAAGGCCGGUGGCAGCCGCCGCGGUAAUACCGGCGGCCCGAGUGGUGGCCGCUAUUAUUGGGCCUAAAGCGUCCGUAGCCGGGCCCGUAAGUCCCUAGCGAAAUCCCACGGCUCAACCGUGGGGCUUGCUGGGGAUACUGCGGGUCUUGGGACCGGGAGAGGCGGGGGGUACCCCUGGGGUAGGGGUGAAAUCCUAUAAUCCCAGGGGGACCGCCAGUGGCGAAGGCGCCCCGCUGGAACGGGUCCGACGGUGAGGGACGAAGGCCAGGGGAGCAAACCGGAUUAGAUACCCGCGUAGU
rnacentral:rRNA from 1 species